UACGAAGGGGGCUAGCGUUGUUCGGAAUCACUGGGCGUAAAGCGCACGCAGGCGGAUCGUUAAGUCAGGGGUGAAAUGCCGAGGCUCAACCUCGGAACUGCCUUUGAUACUGGCGAUCUUAGAGUCCGGGAGAGGUGAGUGGAACUCCGAGUGUAGAGGUGAAAUUCGUAGAUAUUCGGAAGAACAUCAGUGGCGAAGGCGGCUCACUGGCCCGGUACUGACGCUCAGGUGCGAAAGCGUGGGGAGCAAACAGG
rnacentral:rRNA from 1 species